CCGAUUAGUUAUCACGAGAUAUAGUUCGUGAAAACUUUCAACCCUUGCGUAACUUCAAAAUAUCAGCUGUUUCGGCAGAUUUGAUUGGGUUAAACCAAGAAAUUCUGCCAGCAGACCAAAAUCUGAAAUUUUAUUCACUGUCCGAGUUCAAAACAAAUAAAAACA
rnacentral:misc_RNA from 1 species